AUACACCUGAAAAAUAUUUGGUGGAGUCAAACGUAUUAAAAUUUUGAAAGGUACUGUAUUUGAUAUUAAUUUUGAGUUGUUUCGAAGAAUAAGUAUAUCUUGUAUCCAAUGAAUAUUUUGAAGCUUUUUAUUAUUUGCUGGUUUAAAUGUUAAAGAAAACACAUUUAUUUUAUUCAUUCUUCAAGUGGUAAUGUAAGGAAACUUUACCAAGAAUAAAGACAAAUUAAAGGCUUCAAUGUAUAAAAAGUUAUAUGUAUUUUAUGAAGUAGAAUGUUAGUUUUAUAUAAUAUUGUAUUGUUGUAGUACCCGCUCAAAUAGAAGUAUUUUACCAUUUGGGGUAUUUAGCUGAAUUGGCUCUGACUGACCCUUGAUCUGUCUCCUAAUAACCUUAUGGUGUCAAGCAACCUUCACUUUUUUAGUAUUACAUGGAAUGUUAUAAAUUGUGCUACAAUAUUUUGUGGGAACUUGUGUGAAAUAAUGGCAGCCAAAUUUGCAUAUAAGUACCGGUAUGCAAAAUUAUCUAAAAAUGAUUCUUAGUUGUAGGGACAUUUUCAAAGUCCCUUCCUACCUUCCCACAUACAUUUUAAUUGAAUUGCCCUUACCUUGUUUGCAGAAAGAUAUUAGAAAUAAAAGAGGUUAAAUGUGUAUGCACUCAAUGGCACUAGUCCUGUUCAAGACAAUUAUGAAGGGGAAAUAAAAAUUUCGAAAUAUUUCAGCUUGUUUGAUUUUGGGGAUUUUCUUUUUGUGUGGUUUGAAUAUGAUCCAAUUUUAUGCAUUUAUUGAUCUGAAAGUACCUCUCUUUUCCAUUUUGCCAAAUUUUUUACAAUUAUAUUGAAAAAUCAUUUCUUCCAAUAUGAUAAUCUUUUGUAUGCUAAGGUUACUGUAGUAAUAAUUAUAAAAUGUACAUUUUUUUACGUGAAAAAGAAUGUUUAAUAAUCAAGAAGUAGUCUUUGAUUAUUUUUUUUUAUUGUCAUAUUCUUUUUCUUUUACCAUUUUCUUGAAUGUUGAAUUUGCUGAGGAAUGAGCAUGCACAUGUAGUUUUAAAAUAUUAAAUCAAGCAAUAUUAAAUUUUGACAAUGAGGCUUGGUUUAUUGUAGAUUGUGUUGUCCUGGUAUAUUUUUGAUAGUAAUAAGAACAAUUAUGAUUUCAGGCUCACAAUAUUUUCUGCAAUUAUUUGAUUAUGAAUUAAUAGGCUGAGAAAAAAUAAAGUCUUUUACAUGAACAAGAAACUUCCUAGUUAACUUUCAUUAUUUAAAAGUAAAAAGGGAGGUAACCAUUUCAAGAACCAAAACCAAAAUUCUAUUGGAGGUAAAGACAAUUGUGCUAGAUGCAAAUUCUCUCAUUUCGGUUAUUGAUUUCUUUUAUCAAAAUAUUUUUGAAAAUAUAAAUUUUCGUCAAAUUGUUGAAAAAUCAUUUAAAUUUAUUAUUUUACCCUUUUUAUAUUCAAAUGCAACUUUCCCAAUUUGAUUCCAAGAUUUAUAUAAAUUGAGGGGAACUUGACGGUACCUGUUUAGUCUGUUGCAGAUAGGUUGUAAACAUUUAUAUCUUUAAAUUAGCUGUAAUGUAUUAUUUACAUAUCCUCAAAAAAGGUUGUAACAAGUCUUGAUCUCUGUAUCAGAAUAUUUACUUUCCGGCCAAUUUACAUGUUAUUUUUUUUAUUUGAAAGAUUUUAGUUUCUUGAAUGAAAGAAGCUGAAUUUUUAGAUUUGGAAUGAAGAUAUAAUAGAGAGCCUAUAUAACCACUCUGAAAUAGUUGUUUUAAAAAGGGAAGAACUCUUAUCUCAAUGCAAGUCAAAAAUUUAUAUACAUGUACUUAAAUCCUAGUUUUGGAAUCUGAUUUAAUACAUAAAAUUCUAUGUUUUUUUGGUUCGUUUUUUUUUUAAUUAGUUUUCAUUUUUUAGCACUUGAUGGCAAUCAAAUUUGUAUAUUAUACAUGUAUUCUUAACCUUCAUGAUGUCAAAAGUAUAAAUAUACUAGAGGAGAAAUAGUUCAUUUAAAUGUUAAUGAUAUAAAAUAAUCUGUAGAAAAGUUUAAUUUUUACAAAGUUUAUUUGUGCAUCUUUCACACAAACUUAACAUUAAAUCUGUUUUACACUUUAUUCAGUUUGUGAGUGAGUGAGUCAGUCCAGGUUUCACAUCUAUAAUCAUAUACUUAGUUUUACUUGAAGAUGAUCAAGUUCAUUAUAUAUAGCUCAAUAUCUUUUUGUUAGUUUAUAAAGUUAUGAUAUAUGUAUAGUAGUUAAGAUAUAUUAGGCAUUUAUACUUAAGUAUUUACUUUUAAGAUUAAAACUUUUUUCAAAAAC
rnacentral:lncRNA from 1 species